rnacentral:rRNA from 1 species
GGGCCCGCACAAGCGGUGGAGCAUGUGGUUUAAUUCGACGCAACGCGAAGAACCUUACCUGGGCUCGAACGGCCGUGGACAAUCUGUGGAAACAUGGACUUCCCGCAAGGGACCGCGGUCGAGGUGCUGCAUGGCUGUCGUCAGCUCGUGUCGUGAGAUGUUGGGUUAAGUCCCGCAACGAGCGCAACCCUCGUCCUGUGUUGCUAACCGAAAGGUGCACUCUCAGGAGACCGCCGGCGAUAAGCUGGAGGAAGGUGGGGAUGACGUCAAGUCAUCAUGGCCUUUAUGUCCAGGGCUACACACGUGCUACAAUGGGCGGUACAAUGCGUUCCGAAACCGCGAGGUGGAGGCAAUCGCAAAAAACCGUUCUCAGUUCGGAUCGCAGGCUGCAACUCGCCUGCGUGAAGCUGGAAUCGCUAGUAAUGGCGCAUCAGCACGGCGCCGUGAAUACGUUCCCGGGCCUU